rnacentral:rRNA from 1 species
GACGAACGCUGGCGGCGUGCUUAACACAUGCAAGUCGAACGAUGAAACCUAGCUUGCUAGGUCGAUUAGUGGCGAACGGGUGAGUAACACGUGACUAACCUGCCCCUUUCUCUGGGAUAACGCUCCGAAAGGAGUGCUAAUACCGGAUACUCACACCGAGGCACAUGCCUUGGUGUGGAAAGUUUUUCGGAAAGGGAUGGAGUCGCGGCCUAUCAGCUUGUUGGUGAGGUAACGGCUCACCAAGGCGACGACGGGUAGCCGGCCUGAGAGGGCGACCGGCCAACAUGGGACUGAGACACUGCCCAGACUCCUACGGGAGGAAGCAGUGGGGAAUAUUGCACAAUGGGCGCAAGCCUGAUGCAGCGACGCCGCGUGAGGGAUGAGGGUCUUCGGAUUGUAAACCUCUUUCAGUAGGGACGAAGCGAAAGUGACGGUACCUAAAGAAGAAGCACCGGCUAACUACGUGCCAGCCGCCGCCGUAA